rnacentral:tRNA from 1 species
ACCCGUCUAACUCAGUCGGUAGAGCGCUGGCCUUUUAAGCCAGUGGUCGUGGGUUCGAUUUCCACGGGGGGUG